AUUGAACGCUGGCGGCAUGCUUUACACAUGCAAGUCGAACGGUAACAGGCCGCAAGGUGCUGACGAGUGGCGAACGGGUGAGUAAUGCAUCGGAACGUGCCCAGUCGUGGGGGAUAACGCAGCGAAAGCUGCGCUAAUACCGCAUACGAUCUGUGGAUGAAAGCGGGGGACCGAAAGGCCUCGCGCGAUUGGAGCGGCCGAUGUCAGAUUGGGUAGUUGGUGGGGUAAAGGCCCACCAAGCCAACGAUCUGUAGCUGGUCUGAGAGGACGACCAGCCACACUGGGACUGAGACACGGCCCAAACUCCUACGGGAGGCAGCAGUGGGGAAUUUUGGACAAUGGGCGCAAGCCUGAUCCAGCAAUGCCGCGUGCAGGAAGAAGGCCUUCGGGUUGUAAACUGCUUUUGUACGGAACGAAACGGUCCGGGUUAAUACCCUGGGCUAAUGACGGUACCGUAAGAAUAAGCACCGGCUAACUACGUGCCAGCAGCCGCCGUAACAC
rnacentral:rRNA from 1 species